rnacentral:rRNA from 1 species
CGUCGCCGCGGUAAUACGUAGGUGGCAAGCGUUGUCCGGAAUUAUUGGGCGUAAAGGGCUCGCAGGCGGUUUCUUAAGUCUGAUGUGAAAGCCCCCGGCUCAACCGGGGAGGGUCAUUGGAAACUGGGAAACUUGAGUGCAGAAGAGGAGAGUGGAAUUCCACGUGUAGCGGUGAAAUGCGUAGAGAUGUGGAGGAACACCAGUGGCGAAGGCGACUCUCUGGUCUGUAACUGACGCUGAGGAGCGAAAGCGUGGGGAGCGAACAGGAUUAGAUACCCCCGUAGUCCCUGUCUCUUAUACA